UGGGGAAUAUUGCACAAUGGGGGAAACCCUGAUGCAGCGACGCCGCGUGAGCGAAGAAGGCCUUCGGGUCGUAAAGCUCUUUUAUGAGGGAAGAUAAUGACGGUACCUCAAGAAAAAGCCCCGGCUAACUACGUGCCAGCAGCCGCGGUAAUACGUAGGGGGCUAGCGUUGUCCGGAAUCACUGGGCGUAAAGGGUUCGCAGGCGGAAUAACAAGUCAGAUGUGAAAGGCAUGGGCUCAACCCAUGUAAGCAUUUGAAACUGUAAUUCUUGAGAAGUGGAGAGGUAAGUGGAAUUCCUAGUGUAGCGGUAAAUGCGUAGAUAUUAGGAGGAAUACCUGUGGCGAAGGCGACUUACUGGACACAAAUCUGACGCUGAGGAACGAAAGCGUGGGUAGCAAACAGG
rnacentral:rRNA from 1 species